rnacentral:misc_RNA from 1 species
CGCACAUUGCGCCCUUUGGUAUUCCGAGGGGCACGCCUGUUCGAGCGUCAUUUCAAAUUCUCAAGCUUCUGCUUGGACUUGGACUCUGUCACUAGCUGGCAAGUCUGGAAAACCUAGGUGAUCCGGUAACUUCGGAUUGUGAUGCAUUCGCAAGUCUUGUUGUUUACUGGCCCUCCAGAAACUUUAUCUCAAGAUUGACCUCGGAUCAGGCGGGAAUACCCGCUGAACUUAA